UCCCGUUGAUCCUGCGGGAGGCUGCCGCUAUUAGGAUUCGAUUAAGCCAUGCAAGUCAGGGAGUAGCAAUACUACCGGCGACAUGCUCAGUAACACGUCGUUAAUCUGCCCUUAAGACUGGGAUAACCUUGGGAAACUGAGGCUAAUACCGGAUAGGAGAUGGAGGCUGGAAUGCACUAUCUUUUAAAGGCAACACUUAAGGAUGAGACGGCGGCGGAUUAGGUUGUUGGUGAGGUAAUGGCUCACCAAGCCAUAGAUCCGUACGGGCCAUGAGAGUGGUAGCCCGGAGAAGGACACUGAGAAACUGGUCCUAGCCCUACGGGGUGCAGCAGGCGCGAAAACUUUACAAUGCACGAAAGUGUGAUAGGGGAAUCCUAAGUGCUCGUACACAGUACGGGCUUUUGCCAAGGGUAAAUACCUUGGAGAAUAAGUGGUGGGUAAGACUGGUGCCAGCAGCCGCGGUAACCCCAGCGCCACAAGUGGGAGCCACAAUUAUUUGGCCUAAAGCGUCCGUAGCUGGCCUGGUAAAUCUUUUGUGAAAUCGGAAGGCUCAACCUUCCGGCGUGCAGAAGACACUGCCUGGCUUGAGACCGGGAGGGGUAAGGAGUAUUCUUAGGGAACCGGUAAAAUGGGAUAAUCCUAAGAAGACUACCUGUGGCGAAGGCGCCUUACCAGCACGGGUUUGACAGUGAGGGACGAAGGCUAGGGGAGCGAACCGGAUUAGAUACCCGAGUAGUCCUAGCAGUAAACGCUGCCGGCUAGGUGUUGCACCAUCCAUGUGAUUGUGCAGUGUCGUAGCGAAGGCAUUAAGCCGGCCGCCUGGGAAGUAUGGUCGCAAGACUGAAACUUAAAGGAAUUGGCGGGGGAGCACCACAAGGGGUGCGGCGUGCGGUUUAAUCCAACUCAACGCGGUGAAUCUCACCAGAAGCGACGGCAGGAUGAAGGUCAGUCUAAAGGGCUUACCUAACGAGCCGAGAGGUGGUGCAUGGCCGUCGUCAGCUCGUGCCGUAAGGUGUCCUGUUAAGUCAGGCAACGAGCGAGACCUGUGCGCACAAUUGCCAUCGAGUUUUACGAUCGGGCACAAUGUGCGGACUGCCUUGGAAACAAGGAGGAAGGUGCAGGCUACGAUAGGUCUGUAUGCCCCGAAUCUUCUGGGCUACACGCGCGCAACAAUGGUAAGGACAAUGGGCUGCAACACCGAAAGGUGAAGCUAAUCCUCGAAACCUUAUCUUACUACAGAUUGAGGGCUGUAACUCGCCCUCAUGACGCUGGAAUCCCUAGUAAUCAGAGGUCAUCAUCCUCUGGUGAAUAUGUCCCUGCUCCUUGUACACACCGCCCGUCAAACCAACCGAGCCUAGUUUAGGUGAGUAAGAGCUUAAUUGGUUCUUCCGAAUCUAAGUUAAGUGAGGUGGGUUAAGUCGUCACAAGGUA
rnacentral:rRNA from 1 species